AAUAGGAAUGGUUGAAGGAGGAGAAAGAGAAAAAAUGGGGAUGAGGAAGAAGAUGUAGAAAUUUGAUGAACAAUGGUGAUGAGGAGGAAGAUGAAAGAGGAUGAAGGUGGCUGGAAUUGGUUUUGGUGGCUAAGGGGUUGAUUUUGGUGAAAAUAGAUAACUUAAUUAAUGUUAGGGUUUAAGCUAAUUAGAUAAAAUCAGUUUUGUAAUUAGGGUGUUUUUAAAAAACAAGUAAAGGUAAAAUAGUAAUUUUACCACUAAAAAGUUACUAAAAAAGGAAAGAAAUGGGAAAGUUGUAAAUAAAGUGGACCGGCCUAAAAAGAAAAUAGUUGCAAGUAAAGUGAACCAGAGGUAGUAUGAGAUAUAAAAGACCUGGUUAUACCUUCAACGAGUCUCUUAAGUGUACUAGGGCCCACAAACUUAAUGGAAGAACAAUAGGCGAGGGGGAUAUGAAACUCGUUAUCAGAUUUCAUGGGUAUCUUCUUUAGUCCUUAUUUCCACACUUGGUCUUUUUACCACUUCUUAUUACUCUUAUUUUUUUUUUUAAUUUAUUAAUUUUAUAUUCCUCACAUCUUCAACAUAUUUAUAUUAUGACAUUCUCUCUCCUCAAAACCCUAACCCCCAAAUAAAAAUCCUCAAUUUCUCUUCCAAAUUCGCCAACAACCUUCCAUUUCCUGGCCUUUCUCUGUUCAAGCUUUCUUAAAAUGUUGAAGAGACUCCAACUAUAUUGCUCAUGGAACUCGCACUCUACGGUAUUUUCAUUUCUAGUGUGGUUUGUUCUUGAUUAUUGCAGUAAUUGAAUUGGAUUGGAUGGAUCGGAGAUGGUGGACGAAAAUUUUCAAUUAUGGGAAGGAAGACAUAAUUAUUCGCUUUCAUCUUGAGUAAUUUGUAACCAAAGAAUCACAAUUUGCGAAUUUGUUGACUACAGGAUUUUGGUGUGCUUGAAUGGAAUAUGAAUUGAUCUAUGAGUUUGGUUAGAAAUUAUUUACUGUAGUUUAUAUAACUUGUUGAAUCAACAAGUUUUAAUUUUAUAUUUUUUAAUUUUAUACAUGUAAAUUUAGGUCUGUAACUAUGUAAUGUUGUAUAGCAUUAUUGAUCUAUUUUACAAGAAAUAUUAUUGAUAUUAAAUUUUAAUUUGGUAA